rnacentral:lncRNA from 1 species
AAGAGAACACAAAAUCAAAAGCAAAUAUCCAUUACACCUCCAAUCUUUAGAUCAAGAUCACCUCCUCACCCUCCAUUAGUUAUUCCUCUAGAGCAAGGGAGAUUCUUUUUAUGACAAGAAUUGUCGAGUAGAGUAACUCCUAUUGGCAUCCAGAUUCCUACUAGUGAUCUUUUAUAUCUUAGGAGAAAUCUUCAAGGAACGCACAUCGUAGGAGAAGAGAUAAUGGAUGCAUCACACCUUGGUCUUAGAGAUUCUGCUGAAGAAAUAAGAAGAAAAGAUAACGAAGACAGAAUCAGAGCUAAUCGCAAAAG